GGCGGACGGGUGUGUAAUGCUUAGGAAUCUGCCUAGUAGUGGGGGAUAGCCCGGGGAAACCCGGAUUAAUACCGCAUACGUCCUACGGGGAAAGCAGGGGCAUCUUCGGACCUUGCGCUAUUAGAUGAGCCUAAGUCGGAUUAGCUAGUUGGUGAGGUUAAGGCUUACCAAGGCGACGAUACGUAGCUGGUCUGAGAGGAUGAUCAGCCACAUCGGGACUGAGACACGGCCCGAACUCCUACGGGCAGGCAGCAGUGGGGAUUAUUGGACAAUGGGGGCACCCUGAUCCAGCCAUGCCGCGUGUGUGAAGAAGGCGUUUCGGGUUGUAAAGCACUUUCMGUAAGGAGGAAAACCUUAAGGUUAAUACCCUUGAGCCUUGACGUUACUUACAGAAAAAACACCGGCUACACCGUGCCAGCAGCCGCGGUAAUACGGUGGGUGCAAGCGUUAAUCGGAAUUACUGGGCGUAUAGCGCGCGUAGGUGGUUUGUUAAGCGAGAUGUGAAAGCCCCGGGCUUAACCUGGGUACGGCAUUUCCAACUGGCAGGCUAAGAUGUGGUAAGACGGUAGUGGAAUUUCCUGUGUAACGGUGAAAUGCGUAUAUAUAAAUGGAAGGAACACCAGUGGCGAAGGCGGCUAC
rnacentral:rRNA from 1 species